UUGGCCUCGGAUCAGGCGGGGAUACCCGCUGAACUUAAGCAUAUCAAUAAGCGGAGGAAAAGAAACCAACAGGGAUUGCCC
rnacentral:rRNA from 1 species